rnacentral:lncRNA from 1 species
UGGAAUUAUUUGCUGCCUGAGGUCACGAAAGCUGCUUCUGGAUCACAGGUUAAUGACCCAACGGUUUUUUCUAGAAGGGGUGAGCUUAUGUGUGAGCGUGCGUGUGAAUCAAGUCAGUUGCUAAUUCCGUUCCUCUGUUCACUAGGACGGGGUCUAUUUUGAGCAAAUGAGGUCAAUGAAGUUGCGGGGAGAAGUGCGCGGCGUUGCCCGUGACUUCCGCACGUGGGGCAUUUUUCCACCAAGAGAAGAAGUUUGGCUUUAGGGAUGAGAAAUGCAGAAGGACACCAGGGUGGAAUGUUAAUGUGUAUCAUCAUAAGAAGGAACACUUGUUUUGUUUACACAACUGUGUCUCCAGACCUGAAGCAUCACCAUGCGGAGAAUCAGCGGAAUUACUUCCAGGUUUUCCCCACGGUCCGCAUUUGGUACAUACUCGCCGACAGGCCCAAAGGCUGUCUCUGCUCUGAACUUCGAACAGUGAUCAUUGCAGAAUUACAGAGAAACUGAUGGGCGUUCAACCACUGGCUGAGAAAAUGUUUUUGUUAAAAACAGACACGUAAAAAGAGGGAUAGUGGUGGUACCUCAAACCCACAGCGGCAAUUCCCCGCGUGUUGGGAGGAAAAGCCACGUUUUUCUGCAUGUUGUCUAAUGAGACAAGGAGGUGGGGGACAGCGGGUCCAGAAUGGGGGUUCCCUGCGCCCCGAAGCUUGGCCUGCGGGAGGGACCACGUGUCCUUGUGUGGGGGUGACAACAUCCGCACUGCCCCCACCCCAAGACCCUGGAAAGCGGGAGGAUGCGUAGGCUGGAAUCUUCUUUUAAAAAUUAAAUAUCUAUUUGGAACAUGAACUAGAAAUACCGAUGGACAAGCACACUCUAUAAAUAGCAUCUCUGUCCUGGCUCGUGACUGCAUCCAGUCUGUGACCUUCGAAGGCCUCUGAAAGGGCAGAGCCCGCCGCGGCCGCUUUGGACGGUUCUUAUCCCCAGGCCGGGCUGAAGGGAGCGUCUGGGGCCGCCUGGUGGUGUCUCCAUAAACACAGAUAUCCUCAGGGCGCCAGGCCACCCCUCUCUUUCCAGACAUUCCCCCCACCCCGGAACGCCUCUCAUGGUGUGGAGACCACCCCCAGCCUGUCAAACCCACAGAGCUCCCACCUUCAAACGUGCCCUCUUUGCCUGCACCCUUGGAGGGCAGGAGCCGAGUCUGGCUUAGGGCUGUAUGGCUGGAUCUGACCGUGACACCGGAGGCCUGGCGAGUGGGUGAUCUGUGUCUCUCAAACUCAGUAAGCCCUCUCCAGGCCUGAGGAUGAGGGCUUGGCAUCCCCAGGAGGCAGAAAGGCGGACCCUCAAGCCCACCCAGACCUGCGGAAUCAAUCUGCGUCCAACCAGAUCCCCAGAUGCGGUCCAGGCACAGCUUUGAAAUGUGAGGAGCCAUGAAGAGUCGACUGGUGUGGGCGAGGCUCUGCUCAGGACAGGCUUUGCUUCUUACACAAAUUAUAGCUGUUGGGAGGCUUGAAGGGGACCAUUCUCACAUUCGAGGCCACACACCCAUUAGCUAAGACGUCAGGACCGCCGCUGUUCAGACGGAGAUUUCUGUGACAUCGCUGACGUCCCUGCUUCAAAGACACCGCAGUCUCAGUACAACUGGCAUGUGAGUCCCACUUUCGGCUGAAUCUUGCACGUCGAGGGUGAAAGGCGGCAACUGGGUGUCAUGAAAUACAGUCUACUCCUUCCUCUAAAGAUAAAGAAAAAACCCACCCUGUCGCAGCUUCUGAGUGAAUUUUACCUGGAACUUAACCCAUUUUCUGAUCCGUGAUCCACUUACUUGUGUGUUUAUCUUCUGUAUCAUUCCACAGUGGAACUGAGUUGCCUACACACACACACACACACACACACACAUACACACACACACACUAAAUAAAAAUUAAAACUAAGGAUUAUGCCA